rnacentral:rRNA from 1 species
GACGAACGCUGGCGGUGUGCUUCACACAUGCAAGUCGAACGAGGUAGCAAUACCUAGUGGCGGACGGGUGAGUAACGCGUGGGAAUCUGCCCAAGGGUGGGGAUAACUAGCCGAAAGGUUAGCUAAUACCGCAUAUGCCGUGAGGUAAAAGGAGAAAUCCGCCCCUGGAUGAGCCUGCGUCCGAUUAGCUAGUUGGUAGGGUAAAGGCCUACCAAGGCUACGAUCGGUAGCUGGUCUGAGAGGAUGAUCAGCCACAAUGGGACGUGAGACACGGCCCACUACUCCUACGGGAGGGCAGCAGUGGGGGAAGUGUUACACAAUGGGGGGAAACCCGUAGAUGUAGCGACACCGCGUGAACGAAGAAGACCC